UACGAAGGGGGCUAGCGUUGCUCGGAAUCACUGGGCGUAAAGGGUGCGUAGGCGGGUCUUUAAGUCAGGGGUGAAAUCCUGGAGCUCAACUCCAGAACUGCCUUUGAUACUGAGGAUCUUGAGUUCGGGAGAGGUGAGUGGAACUGCGAGUGUAGAGGUGUAAUUCGUAGAUAUUCGCAAGAACACCAGUGGCGAAGGCGGCUCACUGGCCCGAUACUGACGCUGAGGCACGAAAGCGUGGGGAGCAAACAGG
rnacentral:rRNA from 1 species